GUCCACGCCGUAAACGAUGAGAACUAGAUGUCGGGAGGAUUUAGCCUCUCGGUGUCGCAGCUAACGCGUUAAGUUCUCCGCCUGGGGAGUACGGUGGCAACACUAAAACUCAAAGGAAUUGACGGGGACCCGCACAAGCGGUGGAGCAUGUGGUUUAAUUCGAUGCAACGCGAAGAACCUUACCUACCCUUGACAUCCUCAGAACUUGUUAGAGAUAACUUGGUGCCUUCGGGAAUUGAGUGA
rnacentral:rRNA from 1 species